AGUGAACGCUGGCGGUAGGCCUAACACAUGCAAGUCGAACGGCAGCACAGAGGAGCUUGCUCCUUGGGUGGCGAGUGGCGGACGGGUGAGAAAUACAUCGGAAUCUACUCUGUCGUGGGGGAUAACGUAGGGAAACUUACGCUAAUACCGCAUACGACCUACGGGUGAAAGCAGGGGACCUUCGGGCCUUGCGCGAUUGAAUGAGCCGAUGUCGGAUUAGCUAGUUGGCGGGGUAAAGGCCCACCAAGGCGACGAUCCGUAGCUGGUCUGAGAGGAUGAGCAGCCACACUGGAACUGAGACACGGUCCAGACUCCUACGGGAGGCAGCAGUGGGGAAUAUUGGACAAUGGGCGCAAGCCUGAUCCAGCCAUACCGCGUGGGUGAAGAAGGCCCUCGGGUUGUAAAGCCCUUUUGUUGGGAAAGAAAUCCAGCUGGCUAAUACCCGGUUGGGAUGACGGUACCCAAAGAAUAAGCACCGGCUAACUUCGUGCCAGCAGCCGCGGUAA
rnacentral:rRNA from 1 species